rnacentral:rRNA from 1 species
AUGGGCGGCAUCGGCCAGCUCCGUUCCCGCGGCACGGCGAUCGGCGUGUCCCGGCCGCAGCCGGACGUCAACUUCACCAUCGGCGUCGUCGGCGCCGUCUGGUGCAAGAACUGCCGCUACGCCGGCUACCUCCCGUCCAAGAACGUCGCGCCUCUCCCCAAUGCGGCGGCGCUGCUGCGGUGCCGGCGAGGGAGGCAGGCCAUGUCGGCGUGGGGCACGACGGACGCGCGGGGCUACUUCGUGAUCCAGACGGCGGAGCAGGCGGUGCCGUUCGCGAGCACGGACUGCGCGGUGUACGUGCCGCGCUCGCCGCGGCGGGGCGCGUGCGGCGUCGCCGUCCUGCCCCGCCGGAUCAAGGGCUCGCCGCUCAGGUUCCGGGAGUACGUGACGCGCCCCGACGGCCUGCAGGCGAUCUACACCGCCGGCAACUUCGUGUUCGGCCCGCGAGACCCCGCCAAGUGUGGUCUCCAAUAA